UAACGAAGUUUGGUGAGGGCAAAAAUCUAAAUAAAUGAAAACAGAGGCAUCAGUAUUAUUUUAUGUAAACCAAUAAACUAGAAUUUUGAUAGUAUAUGGAAGAAUAAAGAUGAUUCAAGAUUUUUUACUCAACCUCCAGUGUAAUUUGAACCCUUAAUGUAAUUUACUCUCUACUUAACACAUUUUUGUUCUUCAAUGCGAUGUGCUAUAGUGCAAGACAUAUUGAACCAAACAGAAUGGAAGUUGUGUUCAAAUUCUUUUUUAAUUACUAAUCUCUUUUUCAUUUGCAUACCUAAUGAUAAAAUAAUUUUGAGUUUUAUGAAAGUCUGAACUUUCAUUAAAAAACACUGUCUACUGCUUUAACAAAAAUAUUUGAAUUAUACGGUCGAAGUGAAGAUCUCUAGGCUUUUAACUUCAAAACCUAUUUUAAAAAUAAAAGCGUUAUUUUAAGAAAUUAAAAAUAGUUCUAAAAGUAGCUCGUUCUUUUAACAUUAUACUAAAGUACCCAGCAGUAGAUAGUAUUUACUUAUACAAUCAACACAUUUAAUGAGA